rnacentral:rRNA from 1 species
GACGAACGCUGGCGGCGUGCUUAACACAUGCAAGUCGAACGAAGUGGCGAACGGGUGAGUAACGCGUAAUCAACCUGCCCUUCAGAGGGGGACAACAGUUGGAAACGACUGCUAAUACCGCAUACUGAAGGAGGGGAUUGCGUCUGAUUAGCUAGUUGGAGGGGAACCGGCCCACCAAGGCGAUGAUCAGUAGGCGGUCUGAGAGAUGGAACGGCCACAUUGGGACUUAAACACGGCCCAGACUCGUACGGUACGCAGCGGUGGGGAAUCUUCCGCAAUGUACGAAAGUCUGACGGAGCAACGCCGCGUGAGUGAUGACGGCCUUCGGGUUGUAAAGCUCUGUUAAUCGGGACGCGGUACCGGAAUAGAAAGCCACGGCUAACUACGUGCCAGCAGCCGCGGUAAUUC